rnacentral:rRNA from 1 species
UACAGAGGUCCCAAGCGUUGUUCGGAUUCACUGGGCGUAAAGGGUGCGUAGGUGGUGAGGUAAGUCGGAUGUGAAAUCUCCGAGCUCAACUCGGAAAUGGCAUUGGAAACUACCUUGCUCGAGGGUUGGAGGGGGGACUGGAAUACUUGGUGUAGCAGUGAAAUGCGUAGAUAUCAAGUGGAACACCAGUGGCGAAGGCGAGUCUCUGGACAUUUCCUGACGCUGAGGCACGAAAGCCAGGGGAGCAAACGGG